CUCGGGCAGGAGGGGCAGCAACUGCUCCAGAGCCCUUCGGCUUGCUGGGAUGGAUCUGGACACAGCUCCUGGGCAGGGGAACUGAGGCACGGCUGGACAGGGGGAACUGAGGCACGGCUGGACAGGGGGAACUGAGGCACGGCUGGACAGGGGGAACUGAGGCACGGCUGGACAGAUCAGUCGGAGACCGGCUGCACUCCGAGGUUUCACGGCCAGCGCAGCCCGGAGAAUUAUUACCACCCUCUGUUUUAUCCAAACAAUGAUCUUUAAGGGAGGAAAAAAAAAAAGAAGGGACUGUUCUAAAAGUGCUUUGUUUAUGCGGCUCCAUUAAGUUUGGAAUAACAGAGAUGGUAUCGCGUAAUCGAGGCAGUCACUCUAAAGCACGAAUCCACCGGGGCCGAUGAUGGCUCGGAGAGCCCCAGUGAAUCAGCUGUUAACUGCUGCCGGUCCGCGGGAUGCUCCUGCAUCCGCCACAGCCGGGCCAGCAGCCUCUGCCCAGCCGCGCUCGCCUCCGCCCCGCGGCGAGCUGAGGUUGUCCCCAGUCUCACGGACACGUCCGUUCUUUGACUAAUCCCGCAUUCACCAGUAGAUUCCAGGCUGGCAUUUGCUGUUUGUUCUUCCCAGGCAAUGCGCUGCAGGGCCCGGGGGAGGAUGGAUGGAGGAUGGAGGAUGGAUGGAUGGAUGGAUGGAUGCAUGGAUGGAUGGAUGGAUGGAUGGAUGGGGAAUCGCUGACUGCCGGAGCCGCACACCCCGAGCCAGGGAAUCACCGCGGAUCCACGGAGCUCAGACACUGCGGGCUCCAGAAUCCCCAUUAAAAUUCCGUGUUUCUGCUUCCACAGGACAGCAGCGGGGCUUGUGCGACCUGUCCCGGGGAGGAGCAGCUCCAGCAGCCGGGGGUGACCUGCUCGGGCAGGCGCCCAGGAGUUAACAGGAGGCUCUGGAAUCGCGGUGAUCCCCUGGAGAUCUCAUUUCGGGACUGUUUAUGCAAGAGUCAUCUGUUACAAGGUUAUUAAGAAGCGAAUGUGGGAGUGCACAAAUUAGGCAGGAUUGGCUGUUGUCCUUGGAAAUUAGGGAUCAUUUGAAUACACUCAGGCAUUGGGAAAGAGCCUGGAGGCAGUUCCAGAGGUUUUGAAGGAACCUUUCCGAUUUAGCAGCAGGAGAAGCAGCUGCUGGGGGAAGGUGCCAGUGCAUCCCGGGGCACAGAGUCAACAGAGGCAGUUUUUAAUGCAGCCUGCCAGCAGCCUCUCCCCGUGGGUGCUGGUUGUGGCUGGGCUGGGGUCAGUUUUCCUCGCAGAGGUCAGUGUUUGGGCUUUGGAUUGGGACAGAGUGUCCUUUUCCUCUGGAGCUGGUUCUUAGCUGCUGGCUGGGGCUGAGCCGUGCCACCGAGCUGUCCUGCACCACGGCAGCACCAACCUCAGCAUGGACCCUGCUUUGGGCACAUUGUGUGGAGAGGGAUGGACAUCUUUUGGGACUUGGAGCUCUGCAUUUGUCCUGAGUACUGCCCAGGUCUUGUAAUGUGCUGGGAACAGGUGGAAUAAAUGUGUUUGUGCCAGACGAGCA
rnacentral:lncRNA from 1 species